rnacentral:rRNA from 1 species
AUUGAACGCCGGCGGCAUGCUUUACACAUGCAAGUCGAACGGUAACAGGCCGCAAGGUGCUGACGAGUGGCGAACGGGUGAGUAAUGCAUCGGAACGUGCCCAGUCGUGGGGGAUAACUACUCGAAAGAGUAGCUAAUACCGCAUACGAUCUAUGGAUGAAAGCGGGGGACCGUAAGGCCUCGCGCGAUUGGAGCGGCCGAUGUCAGAUUAGGUAGUUGGUGGGGUAAAGGCUCACCAAGCCAACGAUCUGUAGCUGGUCUGAGAGGACGACCAGCCACACUGGGACUGAGACACGGCCCAGACUCCUACGGGAGGCAGCAGUGGGGAAUUUUGGACAAUGGGCGCAAGCCUGAUCCAGCAAUGCCGCGUGCAGGAAGAAGGCCUUCGGGUUGUAAACUGCUUUUGUACGGAACGAAACGGCUCUGGUUAAUACCCGGGGCUAAUGACGGUACCGUAAGAAUAAGCACCGGCUAACUACGUA